rnacentral:lncRNA from 1 species
CUUUAAUUACAUAAACAUAAUUUUCAAUCCCUUUAAUUUUGUAAAAGCUCACCUGCAUUGAAAAUGAGGGUUACCCUCAAUGUAUUUACGAGUGGAAAUAAAGGUUAAUUGAUUGAUAUAUUUUUAUUAAUACGGAGUAUUUGGUAGUGGGAACUAUUGUCCCUGUCUCCUCUGUGCUUAUCUGUUUAUUUGUAGCUCCGCCCCCUUGUUACUUGAUCCCAGGUGUUUCCUGUCAGUGUGUAUUUAUAGUCCUCCUUAUUCCAGUGUUCCCUAUCCAUGAUCCUACGUCCUACCAUCAGUCAGGUUAUACGUUUAUUUGUUUCCAUGUUAUCCGUGUUUCUUUUUGUCUCAGUUUUUUGUUUUUUUGCUUGUUUAUUUGUUGUUUAAUAAAUCACUUAAGAAGUGCGUCCGACCACCUGACAACAGUACUUAUUCAAGACUUUACAAGGUCUCCACAAGAAACACGGCAGUGAUUGUCCACCACCUACACUGCACUGCACAUGCAAGAUGGCAGAGUGCAGAAAGAAACAUUUAUGUGAAACCGACCGUCUAAAUACCACUGCAUCAAAAAACUCCAAUAUUUUAAGCAGCAGGGUUGGACCAGGUUAGCCAUGAUGCCAAGAGCUGGGCUCAGCAGAGGAGGAGCUGAGAUGCU